GCGAACGCUGGCGGCAGGCCUAACACAUGCAAGUCGAACGAACUCUUCGGAGUUAGUGGCGGACGGGUGAGUAACACGUGGGAACGUGCCUUUUGGUUCGGAAUAACUCAGGGAAACUUGUGCUAAUACCGAAUGUGCCCUUCGGGGGAAAGAUUUAUCGCCAUUAGAGCGGCCCGCGUCUGAUUAGCUAGUCGGUGAGGUAACGGCUCACCAAGGCGACGAUCAGUAGCUGGUCUGAGAGGAUGACCAGCCACACUGGGACUGAGACACGGCCCAGACUCCUACGGGAGGCAGCAGUGGGGAAUCUUGCGCAAUGGGCGAAAGCCUGACGCAGCCAUGCCGCGUGAAUGAUGAAGGUCUUAGGAUUGUAAAAUUCUUUCACCGGGGACGAUAAUGACGGUACCCGGAGAAGAAGCCCCGGCUAACUUCGUG
rnacentral:rRNA from 1 species